AGAAUCCUUUUUCCCUUCUCGCUUUUUGGAGAUCAAUUUAGAGGGGUUUUUGUUUCUAAUAUGCCGGAGUUCUAUAAAUCCCAUAAUAAGUUGUUAAUCCUCUGAAAAUGAAAACCUAAACCCGCAAAUCUCAAAACCACCUUCUCAAUGCUUCCCUAACCAGAAGCUCUGUUUUGCUGAGCCUUUGUUCGUGUUGUCGUUCCGCGUCUCUUCGAUUUCUUCUCAUCAGAAACUCUUUUAGAUCUCGGUAAGUGUGUAUUUUGCCCUUCUUCCACAGUUGCUCCAAUGGUGACAAGGUGAAUUGCUUUUGUUUGAGAUUUAUGAAUUUGGAUAUUUUGAGAAUUAAAAGAAAAACGAUCUGGUUUCAUAAAUCUGAAAUUUUUUGAAGCACGAAUGGGUUUUGUCCGUGGGUUGGGUAAAAUAACACUCUCUGUUGAUUUAUAAAAUCACACUGUUAAAUUGGAUGGUUUUCUUUUUUAUGCAUCCUUUUUGAAUUCAUUAGGCAAUGCUCACUCUCCAGUAUUUGUGUUUUAAAUUUGAAGGAAGAAUUGAUGGUAUCCUUGUCCAUGAUACACAGGUAAGUGUUACUUAUAUCACAAAUAUGUAAUGCUGGUUCACCCUUGUAGCUAUCAAUUUGCCAUUGCCUUUCUAAUUCAAAGAAUUUGUAGAUCAGUUUUAAAAGGGUAGAACAUUAAUCUUUCAUCAUGUUGGGAUUUUGGUGCGGAAUAUCUCCAAGAAGGAGAUGUUCAAUCUGUUCUGUUUGACAGGGAGAAUAAAUGAUAUUGAUCUGUCUAGGAAGAAGAAAGAACAAUUAGUGUUUAUGUUUAUGCUUGUAUAAGAGUCUGGCUAGAAUGUAUAACAUAGGAAGAUUAUUACUCUUUCAGCUCAGGAAAAUGUUCUUAUAGAUAUGUGUUUGAUAAGAAAAAUGCAAGGGGAUGUAUGGUUGAAGAUUGGAGGGAGGAUUUUUAUGGUGAAGGUUAAAUAAGUGGGAUUCACAAGGUAUGGUUCAGUGUGCUUCCGCUAUAUCAAAUAAUAGAAAUGGUGGAACUCCUGUAUGGUGAAUAGCUAACAUAAAUCCCAUAAGAUAUAUAAGUGAUGAAGCAGGGUGUAUUAUGUAACCCAGACAACCCAAUUCAAAUGUGAAGACUUUGCAAGUUCAAUCUGGUGAGGAUGAUGAACAAAGCUUCUCUGGGCCACAAAGUUUUGUUUGUAGGAGAGUUAGAGUGAGUCUAAUGAGAAUUGGACCACAAAAGAAGAGUAAAUCAGAGGCUAAGAGAGUGAGAAACAUAGAGGCACAGAACACUAUUGCUUGAUGAGAAGUUGUAUGAAGAAGACAAAGAUGACUAGAAAAACUCAUCAUGAGGGAUGAAGCUGCGAAAAAGUGUUCGAGAUGGUAAAUUUAAUAGUGCUUUAAAUCUUUCUAUUUGAAAAUGAACUUAGAAAUUAUAAUUAUUCACCACAAAUUUUGUUUGAACAUCAUCUCACCAUUAGAUAGAAAUACGGAUAGAAUAAUUAUGUAAAGAUUCCAAACUACAAGAAAAAAUACGAAGAGAGAAAAGAUUGAUAAGAGGUUAUAUUUCUUUGUCAUCCAUCUCCUUUAGUGAUUUUCCAUCUCCUUCACACUUUGUAUUCAAUAUAUCUUUUGACUCGGUGUUUGGAGGCAAAUUGAUGGUUUCACCUUCGGCAUUGUUAUUACUUUCAGUGAAAUGGCAGAGAGAUGGAAACUUUGAAGACCAAUGAGGUUUUUUCUUUGCACGAGCGCCUUUAUCAUUUGUCUUCAUUUUCUUCUCCCUCUUGGAGAUUUCAGGACGUAACUUUUUUUGUCGUUCCUCAUUUGAUAUGGUGUCUUUCUUUG